UAGAGCUGCUUCCUGAUUCUGAAACCUCAGUUUCUCCAGCUCUGAAAUGGGGAUGAUAAUUCUGACCAGGCUAUGAUUCAUGAGAGCCAAAGGACACAGUGAUGUGGCUGACACGUAGCAGCAGCUCAAAAAUGCUAGUUCCCCUGUCCUUCGCACUACAUAUGUAUUCAUUGAGUCGGUACAUACUUCCUGAUCACCUGCCCUGUGCCGGGCCCUCUGUGGCUGGAUACAGUGGAGGCCAAGAUAGCCAGGGUCCCCGAGCUCAGCUGGAGGAGAGAGUCAGCAAAGGAGCACACGAGGAUGCAUGAAGUCAAGGUUUGGAAAAUGGUGUUAGGAUGCUGCUGACUGGGGCUUAGCUGUCAGUCGGAUGCUGCUGUCGGGGGGCCGCCUGGGCAAGUCGUGGCUUUCUGGGGAGCAUGAGAAGGUGACAUCUCGGUGCAGAGCCGAAGGAGGAGCUGGAGCAGCAAGGAAGGGAGAUCCGGGCAGAGUGAACAGCAGCACGAGGGCAGGAAAGCUGGAGCCGCUGGACACAUAUACCCCCUGGAUCAGGAACUGGAGUCCGCAGUGCCUAUAUCAGGCGAGUUUUCCGGGCUGCCCUCGGGGAGCAGAGCCCUACCCAGCCCCUCAGGAAAAGAGGGAAGGCGGAAUGUGGCGUGUGUUGGAGGACCUUCAGAGCCGUUCUGGACCUCACUUAAAAGGAGGGCAGAGACCUAGAUCGAAGGAACCACGGUUUCCAGAAUGAACUUGCAGAACUAAAGCAACUCCCCAUCGUUGCACCUUCCACCUCCCCUCUGGAAAUAAUGUCCUGCCUCAUCGAGCUACUGUGGGGCUCUGUUAUAGCGGCUCAGAGGGUAGCCUGCCAGAUGCGGAGGAGCGAACACAUGCUGCUGGGAGGGCCUCAGAGGUGUUUAACCUGGCCUUGUAGGGAUAGGUGUGGAGGGCUUCCCAGAGGAGGCAAAUUUUAAAUGGCGUCUUGACAACAAGGAGGAUUUUUCUAGACAACAUUUCCAGGCAGAGAUAUAGCAUCUGGGCACAUCCGGAGGGGGGAGGGAGAACACGGGGUUUUCGAGACACCUAAAGAAGCUGGUGGUGGCUAGAGUGUAGAG